AAAAUUUUGGCAAUGAUGAAUUGGACAAUUUAGAUAAUAUUCCAAUGAAAAGGUAUGAUGGAAUGAAAGGUAUGAUGCAUGAAUUAUAGUCACGAUAAAAAUUCACAGUUUGAGCUACCGAAUUUUUUGCUCAAACAUACAAUAUUUAAAAAAUUUGGCGAUGAUGAAUUGGACAAUUUAGAUAACAUUCCAAUGAAAAGGUAUGAUGCAAUGAAAUGAUGGAAUGAAAGGUAUGAUGCAUGAAUUUCCAAUGAAAAGGUAUGAUGCAUGAAUUAUAGUCACGAUAAAAAUUCACAGUUUGAGCUACCGAAUUUUUUGCUCAAACAUACAAUAUUUAAAAAUUUUGGCGAUGAUGAAUUGGACAAUUUAGAUAACAUUCCAAUGAAAAGGUAUGAUGCAAUGAAAUGAUGGAAUGAAAGGUAUGUUGCAUGAAUUUCCAAUGAAAAGGUAUGAUGCAUGAAUUAUAGUCACGAUAAAAAUUCACAGUUUGAGCUACCGAAUUUUUUGCUCAAACAUACAAUAUUUAAAAAUUUUGGCGAUGAUGAAUUGGACAAUUUAGAUAAUAUUCCAAUAAAAAGGUAUGAUGGAAUGAAAGGUAUGAUGCAUGAAUUUCCAAUGAAAAGGU
rnacentral:lncRNA from 1 species